rnacentral:rRNA from 1 species
UACGGAGGGAGCAAGCGUUACUCGGAAUUAUUGGGCGUAAAGGGCGCGUAGGCGAUUCUUCAAGUCUUGUGUGAAAGCCCACGGCUUAACUGUGGAAGUGCAUAAGAUACUGUCGAAUUUGAGUUCCGGAGAGGAAGGCAGAAUUCCCGGUGUAGCGGUGAAAUGCGUAGAUAUCGGGAGGAAUACCAGUGGCGAAGGCGGCCUUCUGGACGGAUACUGACGCUGAGGCGCGAAAGCUAGGGGAGCAAAC